GUCUGGAAACGGCAGCUUCUGAGAGUUUACAAUGUUUCACCAAUUGUCGUCCAAAUAAGUCGUCACCCCUGUCAGAGUAGUUGCAGCUCUGCCGUUACCCACCGCUGUCACUGUGGCCGUUUUAUUCGCGAGGGUUACAGUUCUGUUUAGCAUGCAUCUAAUGACUUAAGACUCCACGCAAGUAAAACGGAGUUUCCUCCCAUUAAGUAUUGGCUUUGCUUUAACAGUGCUUUGAGAGGCUCUGUGUGGCCAACAUAUCUUCUCAUAUCUUUGUCCUCGUUUCCCAAUCUCCGCGUGGUGAAAUCAUCUAUCAAGACUUGGCUUAAAGGACCUCUCUUCUGCAAAUAAUGCCAUCUUCCGCUAGGUGCUCACUGCACACAGACUCGCCGCCCACCACUUCUGUCCACCUUCUGAACUCCGAUAGUUAUUUACCCAGGGACUGUUUCUCAUCUUUAAGUGUCUUGAAGACUUUAAGAUCUGUUUUAUCUCUCUAUACCCCAAAAUGGCCUAGCACAGUAACUAGGACAUUGUAGGUGCUCAAUAAAUGUUUGUCGAAUAUCAAUGACAGCAGGAGGCAGUAAAUGGUCCCUCUUUGUAGGGCCUACAGCUGUGCCUGAGUAGGAUGUACAGAAGUCCUGCAUACGUGUGAAAUGUCUCCAGGAAGCUGCACUGGAGGGGACAGGAAAUGUGGGUAAUCGUAUGGUGCAAGUGGUAGCAAAAAAGACAACAUAAGGAAAAUGUUAUUUAGGUUUUGCCCAGUCUUGCUGUUUAAAGCCCUGUGUUAGAUGCUUUUCAUGCGUUAUUUUACUGAAUGUAAACAACCACCUUAUUAAAUAUACUCACUUUUUUAAAACGAAGAAACACGUACUGGCCGGUCACAGUGGCUCACGCCUGUAAUCUCAGCACUUUGCGGGGCCGAGGCGGGUGGAUCACGAGGUCAGGAGUACAAGACCAGCCUGGCCAAGAUGGUGAAACCCCGUCUCUACUAAAAAUACAAAAAUUAGCCGGGCGUGGUGGCGGGUCCCUGUAAUCCCAGCUACUCGGGAGGCGGAGGCAGGAGAAUCGCUUGAACCUGCGGGGCGGAGGUUGCAGUGAGCCGGGAUCGCACCACUGCACUCUAGCCUGGGCAACAGAGUGAGACUCCAUCUCAAAAAAAUAAAAAAAAAGAAAGAAAGAAAAAAAAGAAAGAAACAAGUACUGAAAAAGCUAAGUAAUUUGCCCAAUUUUAUACCAUCAAUAAAAGGGAGCUGUAAGCUUUGG
rnacentral:lncRNA from 1 species